GCUACUGUGGCUCAGUCGGUAGAGCAGCUGAUUCGUAAUCAGCAGGUCAGCGGUUCGAAUCCGCUCAGUAGCUCCA
rnacentral:tRNA from 3 species